GACAGAGGGUGCAAACGUUGUUCGGAAUUACUGGGCGUAAAGCGCGUGUAGGCGGCCAUCUAAGUCGGGCGUAAAAUCCCACGGCUCAACCGUGGAAGUGCACUCGAAACUGGAUGGCUAGAGUCCUGGAGAGGAAGGUGGAAUGCUUGGUGUAGAGGUGAAAUUCGUAGAUAUCAAGCGGAACACCGGUGGCGAAGGCGGCCUUCUGGACAGUGACUGACGCUGAGACGCGAAAGCGUGGGGAGCAAACAGG
rnacentral:rRNA from 1 species